CCUACGGGUGGCAGCAGUGGGGAAUAUUGCACAAUGGGCGCAAGCCUGAUGCAGCCAUGCCGCGUGUGUGAAGAAGGCCUUCGGGUUGUAAAGCACUUUCAGCGGGGAGGAAGGCGGUGAGGUUAAUAACCUGAUCGAUUGACGUUACCCGCAGAAGAAGCACCGGCUAACUCCGUGCCAGCAGCCGCGGUAAUACGGAGGGUGCAAGCGUUAAUCGGAAUUACUGGGCGUAAAGCGCACGCAGGCGGUCUGUCAAGUCGGAUGUGAAAUCCCCGGGCUCAACCUGGGAACUGCAUUCGAAACUGGCAGGCUAGAGUCUUGUAGAGGGGGGUAGAAUUCCAGGUGUAGCGGUGAAAUGCGUAGAGAUCUGGAGGAAUACCGGUGGCGAAGGCGGCCACCUGGACAAAGACUGACGCUCAGGUGCGAAAGCGUGGGGAGCAAACAGGAUUAGAUACCCUAGUAGUC
rnacentral:rRNA from 1 species